AAUAGAUACCCGGGUGGUCCACGCCGUAAACGAUGAGUGCUAAGUGUUAGGGGGUUUCCGCCCCUUAGUGCUGCAGCUAACGCAUUAAGCACUCCGCCUGGGGAGUACGGUCGCAAGACUGAAACUCAAAGGAAUUGACGGGGGCCCGCACAAGCGGUGGAGCAUGUGGUUUAAUUCGAAGCAACGCGAAGAACCUUACCAGGUCUUGACAUCCCAUUGACCGCUAUGGAGACAUAGUUUUCCCUUCGGGGACAGUGGUGACAGGUGGUGCAUGGUUGUCGUCAGCUCGUGUCGUGAGAUGUUGGGUUAAGUCCCGCAACGAGCGCAACCCUUGAUCUUAGUUGCCAUCAUUUAGUUGGGCACUCUAAGGUGACUGCCGGUGACAAACCGGAGGAAGGUGGGGAUGACGUCAAAUCAUCAUGCCCCUUAUGACCUGGGCUACACACGUGCUACAAUGGAUGGUACAAAGGGCUGCAAGACCGCGAGGUCAAGCCAAUCCCAUAAAACCAUUCUCAGUUCGGAUUGUAGG
rnacentral:rRNA from 1 species